rnacentral:rRNA from 1 species
AGAGUUUGAUCCUGGCUCAGGACGAACGCUGGCGGCGCGCCUAACACAUGCAAGUCGAACGAGCGAGAGAGAGCUUGCUUUCUCGAGCGAGUGGCGAACGGGUGAGUAACGCGUGAGGAACCUGCCUCAAAGAGGGGGACAACAGUUGGAAACGACUGCUAAUACCGCAUAAGCCCACGACCCGGCAUCGGGUAGAGGGAAAAGGAGCAAUCCGCUUUGAGAUGGCCUCGCGUCCGAUUAGCUAGUUGGUGAGGUAAUGGCCCACCAAGGCGACGAUCGGUAGCCGGACUGAGAGGUUGAACGGCCACAUUGGGACUGAGACACGGCCCAGACUCCUACGGGAGGCAGCAGUGGGGAAUAUUGCACAAUGGGGGAAACCCUGAUGCAGCGACGCCGCGUGGAGGAAGAAGGUCUUCGGAUUGUAAACUCCUGUUGUUGAGGAAGAUAAUGACGGUACUCAACAAGGAAGUGACGGCUAACUACGUGCCAGCAGCCGCGGUAAAACGUAGGUCACAAGCGUUGUCCGGAAUUACUGGGUGUAAAGGGAGCGCAGGCGGGAAGGCAAGUUGGAAGUGAAAUCCAUGGGCUCAACCCAUGAACUGCUUUCAAAACUGUUUUUCUUGAGUAGUGCAGAGGUAGGCGGAAUUCCCGGUGUAGCGGUGGAAUGCGUAGAUAUCGGGAGGAACACCAGUGGCGAAGGCGGCCUACUGGGCACCAACUGACGCUGAGGCUCGAAAGUGUGGGUAGCAAACAGGAUUAGAUACCCUGGUAGUCCACACUGUAAACGAUGAUUACUAGGUGUUGGAGGAUUGACCCCUUCAGUGCCGCAGUUAACACAAUAAGUAAUCCACCUGGGGAGUACGACCGCAAGGUUGAAACUCAAAGGAAUUGACGGGGGCCCGCACAAGCAGUGGAGUAUGUGGUUUAAUUCGACGCAACGCGAAGAACCUUACCAAGUCUUGACAUCCUGCGACGGUGCUGGAAACAGUACUUUCCUUCGGGACGCAGAGACAGGUGGUGCAUGGUUGUCGUCAGCUCGUGUCGUGAGAUGUUGGGUUAAGUCCCGCAACGAGCGCAACCCUUAUGGUCAGUUACUACGCAAGAGGACUCUGGCCAGACUGCCGUUGACAAAACGGAGGAAGGUGGGGAUGACGUCAAAUCAUCAUGCCCUUUAUGACUUGGGCUACACACGUACUACAAUGGCGUUAAACAAAGAGAAGCAAGACCGCGA